rnacentral:rRNA from 1 species
UACGUAGGCAGCGAGCGUUGUUCGGAGUUACUGGGCGUAAAGCGUGCGUAGGCGGUUUUUUAAGUUUGGUGUGAAAUCUCCCGGCUCAACUGGGAGGGUGCGCCGAAAACUGGAAGGCUGGAGUGUGGGAGAGGUAGGCGGAAUUCCUGGUGUAGCGGUGAAAUGCGUAGAUAUCAGGAGGAACACCUGUGGUGUAGACGGCUUACUGGACCAUAACUGACGCUGAGGCACGAAAGCGUGGGUAGCAAACAGG